UACGUAGGCAGCGAGCGUUGUUCGGAGUUACUGGGCGUAAAGAGUGCGUAGGCGGUUUUCUAAGUUUGGUGUGAAAUCUCCCGGCUCAACCGGGAGGGUGCGCCGAAUACUGAAUGACUUGGAGUGCGGGAGAGGAAAGUGGAAUUCCUGGUGUAGCGGUGAAAUGCGUAGAUAUCAGGAGGAACACCGGCGGCGAAGGCGGCUUCCUGGACCGAUACUGACGCUGAGACGCGAAAGCGUGGGGAGCAAACAGG
rnacentral:rRNA from 1 species